GCGAUGGUCUUACCAUCCUCCCUUGGCCAGACCGGAUCCGAGCGCUGGGGCCCUUCUGGCCCAAUGGCCUGAGAAGGACAGUCCCAGAAGGCUGGCCAGCCUGGGGAAGGGCCGGGAACUCCCAGCAAGCAGUAGCAUCUGUUGACGUUGCCUGGAGAAGAAAUGGGCUCCCCGGGAAACCUAAUUGUCUUUGAUCUGUUUGACCCCAGAGCACAGAACCUGAAGAUAAAAAAGGGAAAGUGGGCAGGAGAGCUGGAGGCCUUGGGAAAGGGAGAGAAAGCGCCCCUUCCCACCUCCAAGCAGAGUUGCCUGGAUUGAAGUGAAAGCUCAUUCGUAGCCUGAAGGUUGAAACUGCCUGGGGAGGAUUUCUUUCAGAGCAUAUUAUUGAAGAGACAAAAUCCGUCAGAGAGAACUCUGAGGACAGUCACAGAAAGCCCCCACCCUGGACCUUCCAGAAGUGUCACCCUGCACACCACUUACUGUGGACUCAAGAAAGGGGUUUCACCAAGUGGGAGUCUUCAGUCAAAUGUAUUUUCUAUAAUCAGAGCCCAUUUUCCCACAGGCCUGUAUAUACUUGCGGUAGAGUGUGCCCCAGACAAUUUUUAGGGAUGUUAUAACCUAAAAACUGGGGGGGGGG